UACGGAGGGUGCAAGCGUUGUCCGGAAUCAUUGGGCGUAAAGCGUUCGUAGGCGGCAUAUCAAGUCUGGUGUUAAAGCCCGGGGCUCAACCCCGGUUAGGCAUCGGAUACUGAUAAGCUAGAGUAUGGUAGAGGCAAGGGGAAUUCCUAGUGUAGCGGUGAAAUGCGUAGAUAUUAGGAGGAACACCGGUGGCGAAAGCGCCUUGCUGGGCCAAAACUGACGCUGAGGAACGAAAGCCAGGGUAGCAAAUGGG
rnacentral:rRNA from 1 species